UCCCUGGUGGCUUGGUGGUAAAGAAUCUGCCUGCCAAUGCAGAAGACUCGAGUUCGAUCCCUGGUCUGGGAA
rnacentral:tRNA from 1 species